CAUGGAAACCCCAGGAUUCUACUAGGUGCUGGUAGGCUGGGAGGGAGAAUGAUGUCAUAAAUCAAGCAGUAGCCAAUUGGAAGGUCAUAUUCUGAGCUCCAAGACAGGAUUGGGUCGAGAAGAUGCAUGCCAGAAGACCAGCUUCAUCCAUGAAGCCUGAGUUGUGUGCUGAUCAAAGAGUUAAUCUUGGCAUGGCAGCCCCUCUUGACAUGACUUUUAGCCUCUGAGUUUAUGGCAGUGCUUUUGAUAAGGUUCAUUGAUGAAGAUCUUUCUAAUGGACAUAUGAUGUAAAAUAUUCCAAAAGAUUAUAUCCCUUCAGUGCCCAUUGUAUACUCAGACAGAACCCUACAGCAGCAAGGAGAGGAGCAUAUAGGUUGGGGCAACUUAGGCUUUGAUCCUUGGACCAGCUUGAUCCUGCAUUCUUACAUUAGUGAGUGAUAGCACUGAACUUCCAGAAGCAGUGGUCUUCAUUUCAUCUGGCAAAUGCUUGUAAAAAACCAACACUCUCCUACUGUGGCACUAUAGACCCAAGGUUGGCUUGGAGUACUUGGAGGCUACACUGCUUGACAGAAGAUACCCUGCUUUCCUAAUGCCCUCAAAAGUAAAAGGCUCAAGAGUGUGAACUUCCUGGAGCUGCUUUGCACUUGAUGCAAUCCUGGCCUCAUAAGAGACGUCUGGCAAGUGGAGCUGGAGGUCUCAAAUAGAGGAGAACAUGGACUCGGUGGUGCCACCAUUCCUCAGGUUGGUUGGUUAUUUGUUGUGUUUGUGUGUAUGCACUGUGUGUGUGUUCACCAUACCGUGUAUGUGGAGGUCAGAAGACAACAAUAGUUAUGUCGUUCCUUCCAUUAUGUGAGUUUAGAACACUGAGCUCAGGCUGUCAGGCUUGUUAGCCAGCUCCUUGACUCACUGAUCCAUUUUGCUGGCCCCAUUCUUCGACUGAACAGUGUCUCCCGAAGCCACAAGAAAAUCAAGAGACUAUCACGCGACCUUAAGUCCCUCCCUUUCUGGUGUUAUGUUCCACAGUGGUGGGGAUAGAUCCCAGGUUUCCCACUUACUAUUCAACAGUUCCACCGUGGAACUUGCCUCAGCUCAGAACUGGGCUUUUACUCAUAGGUAAACCCUUUCCCAUAUCAAAUAAGCAGAUAUAUUGGCAUUGGAAAUUGCAGGCCCAGUCACAUGCACACCCAUGCUCCAGAGGUGGCACCAUAGGUUAAUACUUGGACUUGUCAACAGUAAAGACCUUGACACAUACAUGUAUAGCCCCAACAUCAGUUUUUCAAUUGCAACCUGAACCUUUCAACCUAUGAAAAUUACCCUUGAAGGCUAUCUUCACCUUGUGCUCUAUACAGUAACACUUUAGUAAAUUUUCUUUUCCAGGACAGGGACU